AUCCGUGCCACAGAUGGGAUGGACUCUGUGCCAGGGCCGGGCUUGUGGGCAGGACUGGGGGCUGUGCCAAGCCAGGCUUUGACCUGGGAGCUGCCAGGGAGGGUGCAGGGAGGAGUCCCAGCAGGGAUAAAGGUGUUCCUGCUCUGCUGCAGCCUCAGCCAGUGCUGCCCAGAGCGAGAGGAAGAUGAAGGUGGCUGUGCUCAGCGUGGCCCUGCUCUUCUCCAUCCUGCUGUGCCCCCCGGCACAGGCCAAGGCACUCCUGGAAGGAACUCAAGAUGAUCUGCGGAAGAUUGAUUUAGACAAUGUCGUGAAGCUGGAGACGCCUCUGCCCCCAGUUGUUGAAAAGCUGGAGGCUGUUCUGCGGCAGAAGCGCCUGGCUGCCUCUCUGGGUGCCUAGGAUUGCAAGUUGUGGGGACAUCGGUGUCCUGAUCCCCUCUGGCAGCACGAGGAGAUGAUCAUCCCUGGAGGAUCCCCCUGAACCCUUUGAGCCCUGGGCCAUUUCCCCUGAAUAAUCAAUAAACCCUUUGAGCAAAGCUUU